AACAUAAUUAAAUAACUACGUAUACGGUAAUAGCUAAAUAUUCUUUUAUAAUUAUGGAAUUUAUCAUAAUCACUAAACUUGAAUUCGACGAUUUAAUAUUUUGUGCAUAUAUUUUUACUUAACAGUUCUUAUCUUCUUUUACCCUCUCGUCUCUUUUUUUUUUAUUCUAGCAGAAGAGAACGAGACGAUGGAGAAAACCGAGAUUGUGGGAUUGACGAGACCAUGGAGAAAGCAAUACAUCGAGUUAUCGUCACUCUCUCUCUCUCUCUCUCUCUCUCUCU
rnacentral:sRNA from 1 species